UAAGUGCUAGAGCGUCUAGUUUAGUAGAGCAGGUUCAGAAUUUAAAUGAGCAAGUGCAGUUUUGGAAAGGGGAACAUUCUGUCGCACAGGAGGAACUACACAGGUUUAUACAAGGGCAGGUCCCCACUUUUGAGCAUGGUAGGUAUUCAGAUGUUGUUAGGGAGGUGUACAUGGAUUUGAUUACAACUAUGGGGGUAUGAAGAGAAAAUGAAACUGCAGCAGCACAUCCAGUUUGCAGUGAGGUUGUAUAGUAAAAUUAAGUUUUCAUAAAUAUGUAUAUAAGUUAAUUAAAAUGUGCACUCAUUUUUCUCUAUUUUUCAGAUGAAUGUGCCUUCAAUUAGCUACACAUUUUCCUGGAGCUUGCUCGAUCGCCUUUUUGCUAGGGGUCAGGGAAUAAUUUUCCAGUACCCCAUAUUGGCUAAAAUGGGUGAACUGGUUUUUUGAUUCCCUCUGGAAAAUGAGUUAGGUUUCCUAUUAAAUAUGCAUAUUAAACAUUGUUGUUCUUGAAAAAA